UCUUUUAUUUUUCUUGUUAAUCUUCACUUGUUUAUGUGCAAUAACAACAAAAGCAAAUGUAGAAGAUGCUAAGCUUUACAUCGUCUACUUGGGACACAAGCCCCACGAUAAUCAUGAACUUAUCACAGAUUCACAUCAUGAUAUUUUAGGUCAAACUAUUGGAAGGUAUAUGGGGAGACUCGGAAGCGUUUAACGAUAAAGGACUAGGUCCAAUUCCAAGUCGAUGGAAAGGUAGUUGCAAAUCUGAAGGAAAUUUCAAUGCCACAAAACAUUGUAAUAGAAAAAUCAUUGGUGCUCGUUGGUACAUAAAAGGAUU